rnacentral:rRNA from 1 species
UACGGGGGGGGCAAGCGUUGUUCGGAAUUACUGGGCGUAAAGGGCGUGUAGGCGGCCAACUAAGUCCGACGUGAAAUCCCCAGGCUUAACCUGGGAACUGCGUCGGAUACUGGAUGGCUUGAAUCCGGGAGAGGGAUGCAGAAUUCCAGGUGUAGCGGUGAAAUGCGUAGAUAUCUGGAGGAACACCGAUGGCGAAGGCAGGUCACUGGGCCGCAACUGACGCUGAGGAGCGAAAGCAUGGGGAGCGAACAGG